rnacentral:rRNA from 1 species
UACAGAGACUGCAAGCGUUAUUCGGAUUCACUGGGCGUAAAGGGUGCGCAGGCGGCCGGGUGUGUCAGAUGUGAAAUCCCGAGGCUCAACCUCGGAACUGCGUCUGAAACUACUCGGCUAGAGUACUGGAGAGGGUAACGGAAUUCACGGUGUAGCAGUGAAAUGCGUAGAUAUCGUGAGGAACACCAGAGGCGGAGGCGGUUACCUGGACAGUUACUGACGCUCAGGCACGAAAGCGUGGGGAGCAAAAGGG